AUACGAUGGACUGGGGAGGUGACCUGGUCCCGGAGUAGUGCAUGACAUUAUGGUUUUCCCUGGACAUGGAGUAGUGCAUUUCAUUAUGGUUUUCCCUGGACAUUAUCUUACAGGAUCAUAGUUUCCUUUUGCAUGAAAGUUAGAAGCUGGGCCAACUACGUUGAACUGGAGUUCAUUCUGAGAUUCUGAAAGCAGCAGAACUAGUGAGAGGAGCUGUCCUCUAUCCCAGUGUUAGUAAUGGUACCCAGCAGAGGUCCAAGAUCUACUGGAGUAUCCUUGUAAAACCACCCGUGACGUUGGAAAUGAAACAUCUGAACCCCCAUCAUGCGUACAUCUUUGCAUGUUCAGUGGAGGCUGUGAUAUGGGACUGCAGAGGGUCUUUCCAGCAGGGAUUUCUUCAGUAUAGGCUUAAGGCAAAAGAAUUUGUGGGGGUCACACUCAGCUCGUGGAUGCAGCGGAGCAAGCAGGCUGUAACCUCUCCGAGGCAGGUGGGACGCACUGGCUCUCUGCCGUGAAUUGGUAUGACAUGGCCCUGGCCCUGGUUUCUGCUCUGAGGUCUGCCAGGUGCUAAGGGCUGCAGGCAAAUC
rnacentral:lncRNA from 1 species